GCCAAAGCGACACCCAUUGUAUGUAGGAGGGCCUCAGCCAAAGAUGACCAGACAAGGCGCCGACCAUGGAACACAUGGGCGACCCAUACAAUCUUCCCUGUAGGUACACUGCGAUAUUUUAUGCUAUCCUGUAGACUUAACAGCCCCGAGGUAGCUCGAGACAGCACAUAAUCCAGACAACCCAGACCGAUACACGAAAUCCCGACCACGUAAAUCCAAGGGACCACUUCAUUCCACUGUGCAACCACGACACCACAGCAGAGUACUCUCUAGACGCGACGUAGAGAGAAACUCUUCCUAAUCUAGAUCCCUAGUGUUCUAUGGAGCCACUAUUUGCUUUAGAACAUGGGAGCCUCUAAAUCUCGGAGACACAAAAGAUGGUCACCACGACGGUGACACCAUAAGCCACCAAAGUUCAGUUGGCCCGCAACUGGUUCCAGUCCAGAGUAUUUUUCAUCCGUCACCCCAGAUAAGAGGUAUCGCCACCCUACAACAUUGCCAAUCUGGACAUGAGCUUAGAUGUCUCAAAAAAAAGUAUUUUGUAAGACACAGUACUGUAGCACUGCAACACAAAGGGCAUGGAAUUUGUUCCGAACAUGAGGAACUGUUGUGACCUGUAUAUUUAAACGGAAACAAAAAAAACUAGGCAGAGGACUUACAAGUAUAGAGUAUGCCUUUGCCAGUAACAAAGGGGUUGGAUAGAGCUCUACAACAGCUUGUGCAGCUUCUUCUGUUACUUGUGGUACCUGCACAUCGUAUUUAUAUUCAUUUGCGAUACAUUUGCAAUCAAA